rnacentral:rRNA from 1 species
GCAGCCGCGGUAAGACGGAGGGGGCUAGCGUUGUCCGGAAUUACUGGGCGUAAAGCGCUCGUAGGCGGUCGCAUACGGCGGUGGUGAAAGCUCCUGGCUCAACUGGGAGAGGCCCGCCGCAACGGUGCGACUCGAGGGUGGUAGAGGCAGAUGGAAUUCCUGGUGUAGCGGUGAAAUGCGUAGAGAUCAGGAGGAACACCCGUGGCGAAGGCGGUCUGCUGGGCCACACCUGACGCUGAGGAGCGAAAGCUAGGGGAGCGAACGGGAUUAGAUACCCCGGUAGUCCUAGCCGUAAACGAUGGAUACUAAGUGUCAGCGGUAUCGACCCCGCUGGUGCUGCAGCUAACGCGUUAAGUAUCCCGCCUGGGGAGUACGGCCGCAAGGUUGAAACUCAAAGGAAUUGACGGGGGCCCGCACAAGCGGUGGAGCAUGUGGUUUAAUUCGAUGCAACGCGAAGAACCUUACCAGGGCUUGACAUCCCG